rnacentral:rRNA from 1 species
GACGAACGCUGGCGGCGUGCUUAACACAUGCAAGUCGAACGAUGAAGCCGGAGCUUGCUCUGGUGAAUUAGUGGCGAACGGGUGAGUAACACGUGAGUAACCUGCCCUUGACUCUGGGAUAACUGCUAGAAAUGGUAGCUAAUACCGGAUACGACCCUCGGAGGCAUCUCCAGGGGGUGGAAAGAAUUUCGGUCAAGGAUGGACUCGCGGCCUAUCAGCUAGUUGGUGAGGUAACGGCUCACCAAGGCGACGACGGGUAGCCGGCCUGAGAGGGUAACCGGCCACACUGGGACUGAGUCACGGCCCAGACUCCUACGGGAGGCAGCAGUGGGGAAUAUUGCACAAUGGGCGCAAGCCUGAUGCAGCAACGCCGCGUGAGGGAUGACGGCCUUCGGGUUGUAAACCUCUUUUAGUAGGGAAGAAGCGAAAGUGACGGUACCUGCAGAAAAAGCACCGGCUAACUACGUGCCAGCCGCCGCGGUAA